CAGGCCUAACACAUGCAAGUCGAACGGGCACCUUCGGGUGUCAGUGGCAGACGGGUGAGUAACACGUGGGAACGUACCCUUCGGUUCGGUAUAACUCAGGGAAACUUGAGCUAAUACCGGAUACGCCCUUCUGGGGAAAGGUUUACUGCCGAAGGAUCGGCCCGCGUCUGAUUAGCUUGUUGGUGGGGUAACGGCCUACCAAGACGACGAUCAGUAGAUGGUCUGAGAGGAUGAUCAGCCACACUGGGACUGAGACACGGCCCAGACUCCUACGGGAGGCAGCAGUGGGGAAUAUUGGACAAUGGGCGCAAGCCUGAUCCAGCCAUGCCGCGUGAGUGAUGAAGGCCUUAGGGUUGUAAAGCUCUUUUGUCCGGGACGAUAAUGACGGUACCGGAAGAAUAAGCCCCGGCUAACUUCGUGCCAGCAGCCGCGGUAAU
rnacentral:rRNA from 1 species